GAUGAACGCUGGCGGCGUGCCUAAUACAUGCAAGUCGAGCGAACAGACGAGGAGCUUGCUCCUCUGACGUUAGCGGCGGACGGGUGAGUAACACGUGGAUAACCUACCUAUAAGACUGGGAUAACUUCGGGAAACCGGAGCUAAUACCGGAUAACAUGUUGAACCGCAUGGUUCAACAGUGAAAGACGGUUUUGCUGUCACUUAUAGAUGGAUCCGCGUCGCAUUAGCUAGUUGGUAAGGUAACGGCUUACCAAGGCAACGAUGCGUAGCCGACCUGAGAGGGUGAUCGGCCACACUGGAACUGAGACACGGUCCAGACUCCUACGGGAGGCAGCAGUAGGGAAUCUUCCGGAAGGGGCGAAAGCCUGACGGAGCAACGCCGCGGGAGUGAAGAAGGUCUUCGGAUCGUAAAACUCUGUUAUUAGGGAAGAACAAAAUGUGUAAGUAACUAUGCACGUCUUGACGGUACCUAAUCAGAAAGCCACGGCUAACUACGUG
rnacentral:rRNA from 1 species